rnacentral:rRNA from 1 species
GGGCCUACGGGGGGCAGCAGUAGGGAAUCUUCGGCAAUGGGCGAAAGCCUGACCGAGCAACGCCGCGUGAAUGAAGAAGGCCUUCGGGUUGUAAAAUUCUGUUAUAAGGGAAGAAAGGUGAUAGGAGGAAAUGACUAUCAAUUGACGGUACCUUAUGAGAAAGCCACGGCUAACUACGUGCCAGCAGCCGCGGUAAUACGGAGGGUGCGAGCGUUAAUCGGAAUUACUGGGCGUAAAGCGCACGUAGGCUGUUGUGUAAGUCAGGGGUGAAAUCCCAAGGCUCAACCGUGGAACUGCUCUUGAUA